rnacentral:misc_RNA from 1 species
AAAGUCGUAACAAGGUUUCCGUAGGUGAACCUGCGGAAGGAUCAUUAACAAAACGUAUUUCGUGGCGAAAGCCAUGGAAUUACAACCAAUUCGUGAUGUUGUUAUUUCAACUCUCUCCUGUUGAGACAGAUGAUUGAAGAGUGGGGUAGACAAGUGAGUCGAAAGGCUUUGCUUGGACUUUUCAAUCGUUUUACAUGUCUGUCUCUCUAGGAUUUGUCAAGACUACUCUGAUUGCUUCUUUCUCGUAAAAAGGAAAGGAGUGAUCAAACCCACACUUUUUUUCACCCCUCUCACCAAUUCAUGUUAUACAUCAGUUUAAUUUUCAUCCGCGGAGAAAUCCAAGGAUGCAAGAUAUACAACGCGAACAACUCUUAGCAAUGGAUGUCUUGGCUCUG